rnacentral:rRNA from 1 species
UACGGAGGGUGCAAGCGUUAUCCGGAUUCACUGGGUUUAAAGGGUGCGUAGGCGGGCAGGUCAGUCAGAGGUGAAAUCUCCGGGCUUAACCCGGAAACUGCCUUUGAUACUAUCUGUCUUGAAUAUGGUGGAGGUAAGCGGAAUAUGUCAUGUAGCGGUGAAAUGCUUAGAGAUGACAUAGAACACCUAUUGCGAAGGCAGCUUACUACGCCUAUAUUGACGCUGAGGCACGAAAGCGUGGGGAUCAAACAGG